rnacentral:ncRNA from 5 species
AGGGUUGGGUGGAGGCUCUCC